GCCCAGACUCCUACGGGAGGCAGCAGUGGGGGAUAUUGCACAAUGGGGGGAACCCUGAUGCAGCGACGCCGCGUGGGUGAAGAAGCGCCUCGGCGCGUAAAGCCCUGUCAGCAGGGAAGAAAAUGACGGUACCUGAAGAAGAAGCCCCGGCUAACUACGUGCCAGCAGCCGCGGUAAUACAUAGGGGGCAAGCGUUAUCCGGAAUUAUUGGGUGUAAAGGGUGCGUAGACGGAGAAACAAGUUGGUUGUGAAAUCCCUCGGCUCAACCGAGGAACUGCAACCAAAACUAUUUCCCUUGAGUGUCGGAGAGGAAAGUGGAAUUCCUAGUGUAGCGGUGAAAUGCGUAGAUAUAAGGAAGAACACCAGUGGCGAAGGCGGAUGACUGGACGGCAACUGACGGUGAGGCGCGAAAGCGUGGGGAGCAAACAGGAUUAGAUACCCGAGUAAA
rnacentral:rRNA from 1 species